CUACUGCUGAGAAGUCCGACAAUAGGACGGAACGAUCGUCCAGUAC
rnacentral:hammerhead_ribozyme from 1 species